GAUUGAGAGAAAUAUUACAGAUUUUCAGCAGUUAUUCAUGCAUAUAAAAGGAAGGCGAUGUAUAACUUCAUAUUCAGAAGAUACUUUUGAAAUCCUCACAUUGAAGUUUUAUUAAGUAACCAUGAAGUUUGUGAUUUUCAUCUCAUUUCUUCUAUGCGCUACCCUGGUGUCAGCUCAAACCGAUCCUAACAGAGAAAUAUGCUUAGGAAGGUAUUGCUCUUCAAGGAGCGGAUGGAGAUGUUGCCCUUAUUUCAAUGGCAUGUGUUGCGCAGGUGGACUAACAUGUUGUCAAUUUUAAAC